CAGGAGGACUCUCAGGUAAGGAUCGGGAGGACUCCCAGGUAAGGGUCGGGAAGAUCCCCAGGUAAGGGUCAGGAGGACCCCCAGGUAAGGAUGGGGAGGAUGCCAGGGUACGGAUCAAAAGGACCCCCAGGCAAGGAUUGGGAGGAUC